CGUGGGUAACCUGCCCAAGAGAUCGGGAUAACACCUGGAAACAGAUGCUAAUACCGGAUAANAACAGAUGAUGCCUAUCAACUGUUUAAAAGAUGGUUCUGCUAUCACUCUUGGAUGGACCUGCGGUGCAUUAGCUAGUUGGUAGGGUAACGGCCUACCAAGGCGAUGAUGCAUAGCCGAGUUGAGAGACUGAUCGGCCACAUUGGGACUGAGACACGGCCCAAACUCCUACGGGAGGCAGCAGC
rnacentral:rRNA from 1 species